rnacentral:rRNA from 1 species
AUGAAUGAUGAUGCCAACCCUGACGAUCUGUUUGACGAUGAGUAUUACAUGUUUGCUGGUGAAGGCUCAUAUGCUAAUGACAUGCAGCACGACGAAGUGGAAGACUCAAGUGACAAUACUUAUAUCAAUGAUGAUCCAUUUGACUAUAUGUACUCGAACCUACCAGACAGCACACACAUCCUAAAGCACGACACGAACUGCGACCACCACAAGGCCAAGAAGUUUGAGUCAGAAGACAUGGGUUUCUGCUGCCGCAAUGGGCAGAUCGAGCCGAAGGCACCGGAGCCCAUCCCAAAGCUAAUGAGGCUUUGGUCCAGCACGGAUGAGGACUCUAGCCAUUUUUGGGUGAACAUACGGUUCUUUAACGGCCACUUCUCCUUCACAACCCUUGGCGUCAGCUCGAUGAAAACUACACAAACAUGA